GACGAACGCUGGCGGCGUGCUUAACACAUGCAAGUCGAACGGAAAGGCCCUUCGGGGUACUCGAGUGGCGAACGGGUUAGUAACACGUGGGUGAUCUGCCCUGCACUUUGGGAUAAGCCUGGGAAACUGGGUCUAAUACCGAAUAGGACCACGCUCUUCAUGGUGUUUGGUGUAAAGCUUUUUCGGUGUGGGAUGGGCCCGCGGCCUAUCAGCUUGUUGUUGGGGUAAUGGCCUACAAAGGCGACGAAGGGUAGCCGGCCUGAGAGGGUGACUGGACACAAUGGGAAUGAGAGACGGACAAGACUGAUACGGGAGGCAGCAGUGGGGAAUAUUGAAAAAUGGGCGCAAGCCUGAUGCAGCGACGCCGCGUGAGGGAUGACGGCCUUAGGGUUGUAAACCUCUUUCACCAGGGACGAAGCGUAAGUGACGGUACCUGGAGAAGAAGCACCGGCCAACUACGUG
rnacentral:rRNA from 1 species